rnacentral:tRNA from 1 species
GUAGCGCAGGGGUUAGCGUGUCCGCCUUUGACGCUGAAAGCCUGGGUUCGAAUCCUGGC